rnacentral:misc_RNA from 1 species
UCAACCUAAGAAAAGAAACAGAUUCAUUUGAGCAGCAUAUUACGUCUAGAAGCAUUUGCAGAAUAUCAUUGUUUUCACAGUUAACACACUGACAAAAUUUCGAGGGAGAAAGUAAAAUGGAUAAAGAAAACAAUUAGAAGAGGAAGAUGAAGAGAAAAAUGUUUAGGUUCAAGUAUAUUUAAGAGAGCAAUAUCAUGCUAAGCAUAUGACUUACCUUCUUUCCUGUAUUAGCUUUG